GAUGAACGCUGGCGGCGUGCCUAAUACAUGCAAGUCGAGCGAACAGACGAGGAGCUUGCUCCUCUGACGUUAGCGGCGGACGGGUGAGUAACACGUGGAUAACCUACCUAUAAGACUGGGAUAACUUCGGGAAACCGGCGCUAAUACCGGAUAAUAUAUUGAACCGCAUGGUUCAAUAGUGAAAGACGGUUUUGCUGUCACUUAUAGAUGGAUCCGCGCCGCAUUAGCUAGUUGGUAAGGUAACGGCUUACCAAGGCAACGAUGCGUAGCCGACCUGAGAGGGUGAUCGGCCACACUGGAACUGAGACACGGUCCAGCCUCCUACGGGAGGCAGCAGUAGGGAAUCUUCCGCAAUGGGCGAAAGCCUGACGGAGCAACGCCGCGUGAGUGAUGAAGGUCUUCGGAUCGUAAAACUCUGUUAUUAGGGAAGAACAAAUGUGUAAGUAACUAUGCACGUCUUGACGGUACCUAAUCAGAAAGCCACGGCUAACUACGUG
rnacentral:rRNA from 1 species